GGGUGAGGUAGAGGCGCGGGUAUUAUGAGUAGUUUAAAGGAGAUUGCAAGUCGAUGAAUUUAAAUGAAAGGAAGACCGCCGAAGUGUAUAGUUCUUGCAAAACUAUAUGCUGGGUUUACAUCGAAUAGGUGUAAAACUGUCAUUUAAGCUAUCCCGUAGCUUAAAUGGAGAGCUAUCUUACUU
rfam:[Clostridium] thermoalcaliphilum strain DSM 7309 CLOTH_contig000003, whole genome shotgun sequence.